GAGUUGUAAUUUGUAGAGGAUGCUUUUGGUGAGGUGCCGCCCGAGUUCCCUGGAACGGGACGCCACAGAGGGUGAGAGCCCCGUCUGGCUGGCCACCGAGCCUCUGUAAAGCUCCUUCGACGAGUCGAGUAGUUUGGGAAUGCUGCUCAAAAUGGGAGGUAUAUGUCUUCUAAAGCUAAAUAUUGGCCAGAGACCGAUAGCGCACAAGUAGAGUGAUCGAAAGAUGAAAAGCACCUUGAAAAGAGGGUUAAACAGUACGUGAAAUUGUUGAAAGGGAAGCGCUUGUGACCAGACUUGGGCGCGGCGAAUCAUCCGGGGUUCUCUCCGGUGCACUUCGCCGUGUUCAGGCCAGCAUCAGUUCGGCGCGGGGGAAAAAGGCUUCNGGAACGUGGCUGCUCCGGCAGUGUUAUAGCCCGUUGCAUAAUACCCUGCGCUGGACUGAGGACCGCGCAUCUGCAAGGAUGCUGGCGUAAUGGUCACCAGC
rnacentral:rRNA from 1 species